GCAAACAAGCAUCAUGGCGGCGGCCGCCGUCCCCCAGCCAGCGAGCACCCCGACCGCCGCCGCCGCUCCAACAUCCCGGCCGCCCAUUGGCCGCCGCCUCCGGGCGCGACCAUUCGCUGCGCGGCGGGUGGCGACGGAAGGCGAGCAGAGAUCACUGGGGAUGGUGCUUGCUUCGGGGCACGUUCCUGACAGGUGCUGAGACCCCGUGCUGGAGCCACACUGUACAGAGGAGUCCGGCCCCACCCUGGCCCUACAGGUUAUUCUAGAUGUCCUACUUGGCAACCCAACGCUCCAUGAGGAAGGAAGAAGAAGAAGCUGGCAGACCUUCUGAGGAAUAUCAUGUUCUCUGUAGUCUAUUGGUCAAAGCAGUCACAAGCCCAAGCCAGAUUCAGGAAGAGAAGAUAUAAGGACCACACUGAAGCAGAAUGGAUGCCAGCUCCUGCCAGACUCCAAAGACAUCCUGGGCCUGCCUCAUUUUCAUCCCUGAACCAAAUGCCACAUUCAGGGCAAUGUUCCAUCCUGGCCAGGAAGAUGUCACAUGCCCACUCUUGGACCUGGAUUAUCUUCAACAUCACUCAAAGCAUAUAUGAAAAGAACUGGCGGGGGGAGAGAAUCCCCCCAAAAAACUGAGGCUACCGUUUCUCGAAGAAAGGAAUAGAUGUAGAAAGGCAGAAAGAAGCCGAGGUCCAAGGCCUCUGUAUCAGCUGUACCUGCUCAGACCUCCUGCUAGUUGCUUCUCUGGGAACCAAUCCAGUCCUGGUUCAACUACUAGUACACAGUGAGGAGAAAGUGCCUUGGUGCCUCAGAAUGUGGGAGACAGGGUGGGGCUCUCCCAUUUCAGAGCUUAGAUGCUCUCCCUGAAGACUCACUGUAAAGAAGUAGUGGGAACAGGCAAAGGCUGCAAAUCCA